UUCCCAGUGUAGCGGUGAAAUGCGUAGAUAUUGGGAAGAACAUCGGUGGCGAAGGCGUGCUACUGGACCGUAACUGACACUCAGGGACGAAAGCUAGGGGAGCGAAAGGGAUUAGAUACCCCUGUAGUCCUAGCUGUAAACGAUGGAAACUAGGUGUGGCUUGUAUCGACCCGAGCCGUGCCGUAGCUAACGCGUUAAGUUUCCCGCCUGGGGAGUACGCACGCAAGUGUGAAACUCAAAGGAAUUGACGGGGGCCCGCACAAGCGGUGGAGUAUGUGGUUUAAUUCGAUGCAACGCGAAGAACCUUACCAGGGCUUGACAUGUCGCGAAUCUCGGUGAAAGCUGAGAGUGCCUUCGGGAGCGCGAACACAGGUGGUGCAUGGCUGUCGUCAGCUCGUGCCGUGAGAUGUUGGGUUAAGUCCCGCAACGAGCGCAACCCUUAUUUUUAGUUGCCAGCAUUAAGAUGGGCACUCUAGAAAGACUGCCGGUGACAAACCGGAGGAAGGUGAGGACGACGUCAAGUCAGCAUGCCCCUUACGCCCUGGGCUACACACGUACUACAAUGGUUGGGACAAAGGGCAGCGACUCCGCAAGGAAUAGCGAAUCUCAUCAAACCCAGCCUCAGUUCAGAUUGCAGGCUGCAACUCGCCUGCAUGAAGGAGGAAUCGCUAGUAAUCGCAGGUCAGCAUACUGCGGUGAAUUCGUUCCCGGGCCUUGUACACACCGCCCGUCACACCAUGGAAGCUGGUCACGCCCGAAGUAGUUACCCUAACCUUUCGAGGAGGGGGAUUCCUAAGGCAGGGCUAGUGACUGGGGUGAAGUCGUAACAAGGUAACC
rnacentral:rRNA from 1 species